AGGGCGCAUGGUGGAUGCCUAGGUGCAUUGGGCUGAUGAAGGACGUGGCAAGCUGCGAUAAGCCACGGGGAGCCGCAAACAGGCGUAGAUCCGUGGAUUUCCGAAUGGGGCAACCCGGCAGGAGUAAACUCCUGUCACCAUAUGGUGAACACAUAGCCAUAUGGAGGGAACUCGGGGAACUGAAACAUCUUAGUACCCGGAGGAAAAGAAAGAAACAUCGAUUCCCUAAGUAGCGGCGAGCGAACGGGGAGUAGCCUAAACCGGUGAUGCUUGCAUCAUCGGGGUUGUGGGACCUCAAUACAAGGAUUAGGUGGUCUAGCCGAACACAGCUGGAAAGCUGGAGCAUAGAAGGUAAAACUCCUGUAGGCGAAAGGCUUACCUAACCUUAGAGGUAUCCCGAGUACCACGGAGCACGUGGAAUUCCGUGGGAAUCUGGCAGGACCACCUGCCAAGGCUAAAUACCCAAUGCGACCGAUAGUGAACUAGUACCGUGAGGGAAAGGUGAAAAGCACCCCGGGAGGGGAGUGAAAUAGAACCUGAAACCAUGUGCCUACAAGCAGUCGGAGCACUAUUUAGGUGUGACGGCGUACUUUUUGCAGAACGGACCGGCGAGUUACGUAGGCGAGCGAGGUUAAGGCUAUUAGGGCUGGAGCCGUAGCGAAAGCGAGUCUUAAAAGGGCGUUAGUUCGUCUACGUAGACCCGAAACCGGGUGAGCUACCCAUGGCCAGAGUGAAGCGUGAGUAAAAUCACGUGGAGGCUCGAACCAACCGUCGUUGAAAAGGCGGUGGAUGAGCUGUGGGUAGGGGUGAAAAGCUAAUCGAACCCGGAGAUAGCUGGUUCUCCCCGAAAUAGCUUUAGGGCUAGCCUUGAGGUAUAGAGUACCGGGGGUAGAGCACUGGAUGGGCUAGGGGCCUUCACCGGUUACCGAACCCAACCAAACUCCGAAUACCGGUACUUGUUUCUCAGGAGUCAGACUAUGGGUGAUAAGGUUCAUAGUCGAGAGGGAAACAGCCCAGACCAACAGCUAAGGUCCCGAAGUGUGACUAAGUGGAAAAGGAUGUGGGGUUGCAUAGACAACCAGGAUGUUGGCUUAGAAGCAGCCAUCAUUUAAAGAGUGCGUAAUAGCUCACUGGUCAAGUGACCCUGCGCCGAAAAUGUAACGGGGCUAAGUCACACACCGAAGCUUUGGAAUUAUCUGUAUAGGUAAUUGGUAGGGGAGCGUUCCUAUCAGCGUCGAAGCAGUGCUGUGAGGCACUGUGGAGUGGUAGGAAGUGAUAAUGCCGGUAUGAGUAAACGAAAAGGCAGGUGAGAAUCCUGCCCGCCGAAAGCCUUAGGUUUUCUGGGGAAGGCUCGUCCGCCCAGAGUUAGCCGGGACCUAAGCCGAGGCCGAAAGGCGUAGGUGAUGGACAAUCGGUUGAUAUUCCGAUGCCACCAACUAUCCGUUUGAAGGAUGGGGUGACGCAGGAGGGUAAGCUGAGCGUGCGGCUGGAAAAGCAUGUCCAAGCCUGUAGGGUGAGUCACAGGCAAAACCGUGGCUCGUAAAGCCCGAGAGGUGAUGGGGAGCGGCCAAGUGCUGCGAAGCAGCUGAUCCCAUACUGUCAAGAAAAGCCUCUAACGAGGAAGUUGGUGCCCGUACCGCAAACCGACACAGGUAGGCGGGGUGAGAAUCCUAAGGCGCGCGAGAGAACCCUCGUUAAGGAACUCGGCAAAAUGACCCCGUAACUUCGGGAGAAGGGGUGCCUCGAUGCUGUGAAGCUGCUAGCCAGCGGAGCAGUAAGAGGUCGCAGUGAAAAGGCCCAAGCGACUGUUUACCAAAAACACAGGUCUCUGCUAAAGCGAAAGCUGAAGUAUAGGGGCUGACGCCUGCCCGGUGCUGGAAGGUUAAGGUAAGGGGUUAACGCUCCGAACCGAAGCCCCAGUAAACGGCGGCCGUAACUAUAACGGUCCUAAGGUAGCGAAAUUCCUUGUCGGGUAAGUUCCGACCCGCACGAAAGGCGUAACGACUUGGGCACUGUCUCAACGAGGGACUCGGUGAAAUUGUAAUUCCGGUAAAGAUGCCGGAUACCUGCGACAGGACAGAAAGACCCCGUGGAGCUUUACUGCAACCUGAUAUUGGGUUUUGGUACUUCAUGUACAGGAUAGGUGGGAGGCUUAAAAGCUUGGGCGCCAGCUCAAGUGGAGCCGUCGGUGGGAUACCACCCUUGGAGUACUGAAACUCUAACUAGGCGCCGUGGAUCCGGUGCUAGGACAGUGUCAGGCGGGCAGUUUGACUGGGGCGGUCGCCUCCCAAAAGGUAACGGAGGCGCCCAAAGGUUCCCUCAGCGCAGUUGGAAAUUGCGCUAAAGAGUGCAAAGGCAUAAGGGAGCUUGACUGAGAGACUGACAAGUCGAUCAGGGACGAAAGUCGGGCUUAGUGAUCCGGCGGUUUCCGAGUGGAAGGGCCGUCGCUCAACGGAUAAAAGCUACCCCGGGGAUAACAGGCUUAUCUCCCCCAAGAGUCCACAUCGACGGGGAGGUUUGGCACCUCGAUGUCGGCUCAUCGCAUCCUGGAGCUGGAGUAGGUUCCAAGGGUUGGGCUGUUCGCCCAUUAAAGCGGUACGUGAGCUGGGUUCAGAACGUCGUGAGACAGUUCGGUCCCUAUCCGUCGCAGGCGCAGGAAACUUGAGGAGAGCUGACCCUAGUACGAGAGGACCGGGUUGGACGAACCGCUGGUGUACCAGUUGUCUCGCCAGAGGCAGCGCUGGGUAGCCAUGUUCGGACGGGAUAAGCGCUGAAGGCAUCUAAGCGCGAAGCCCACUCCAAGAUGAGGUUUCCCACUCCUUUGU
rnacentral:rRNA from 1 species